UGUCAUUGGCAGCAAACAUGAACUGGCGACCAACUUCCAAGUAUUCUCUUUUUGAUGAUUUAUGUAAGAUUCUUUUGGGAUAUGUUCCUGCCACCUGAUCCAGUUGGAUGUACUCUGGCUCCGCAUAAAUUUCCAUCAGGAGGAAAGAAUUAUUUCUACUUGGAUCAUCCAUUGUUGCAUGGCUGCUGCAUGACCUAAGUUGCACAUGAACUGCAGGAUUUGGCUGAACUUGGUUAGGGUUUGGGAGUCCAAAUCAAAGUUGAGAUUUGGUGCAGGUUGAACCCAAAUGCCAAAGUGGUAGACCUAGAAGAAUUAUAGUAGUAAUAAACUUGAUAGAUUGAUCUCUUU